rnacentral:lncRNA from 1 species
GUUUGAAUGGCUCUAUCAACCAUAAAAAAAAUUUGAAUCAAAAGCUUGAGUUUUUUGGAUGAAUAUGGAGGCAAAGUGAAAGAGAAGUUGUUUUUAGUUCAUAACAAGUGAGAAAGAGAGAGAGUGUAAAUCGAUUUGAGGUGCAUUAAGAGCUUCAAAUUGGUUGUUCAUGGUGGUUGGUGUAUUAAUUGUAAUUGCAAUCUUGUAAAUACUUGAAGAUGAUGAGGUUGAGAGAGUAAAAAUGUCAUUUUCGAAAAAAAAAGAAAAAAAAACUAAUAGCAUUUUCGUGAAUAAUAUGAACUUGUGGGGUGAAUAGAAUAAAAGAAAAAUCCAAGAAAAAUAUAAGUUAAUUUUAGGUUUUACUUUAAUUUUCGAGUCAAUCUUGCAAAAAAACCCAGAUUCUAAUCACGAUUGAUAAACUAUAUGUAUAAUUUUCUCAUUAGAUUUCACAUCAACGAUGGGCAAACCAGUUAGUAGAUUAUAACAU